UGUCACACACCCAUCUUUUUAGAUGGACAGACAAUAAUUAGCCUGCGCUACGUAACGAUGUUCGCGUUCACUGUACGGUUCCCGGAAUACGGUCAGACCCCAGCAACCAAACCACGCAAGUGGUUUGUGGCUCGAGAGUGGUUUGAUUGAUAUUUCUAUAGAGUUUCGGUGGCCAUAGCGUCGGGGAAACACCCAGUCUCCAUUCCGAACCUGGAAGUUAAGCCCGCCAGCGCCGAUGGUACUGCGACCGGGAGGUCGUGGGAGAGUAGGACGCCGCCGGAC
rnacentral:rRNA from 1 species